UCAAUCCGCGCCCGAUUCGAUCGAUCCUUGUACUCCACACACGAGUUGAUGCUAUUUAAGAUCGCCAACCCCUCCUCUGCCGAUUUUUGGCAAAACCCCUCGCUCCCAUGCCCUAUCUCGCCCGUACCAGAAGAUCGGAUCUCGUCGGAGUUGCGUGCCCGACAGAAGCUUUCGCCGUCGUUUCGGUCGUCUCUGAAGGAACCCCUGGAACGACUCAAUAGAGCUCGAUCAGGAGCCCUCGCCGUCGCUGCGACUUCAGCCGCACGUCAUCACCACCAGAGGACGGGACCGUCGCAGAAGAGAACGAAUUCAACGUCUACAGGAAUGUCCGCCUCCAGUAGAGUCCUUCUUGAGCUCGGGGGACCACCGCAAACGUCUCCACCGUCGAGGUCCGAGCCGCCGAGGUCUUCUUCUCCAAGUCCGGCGAUGCCUUUCCCUUUGUUCCGCGAUUGUCCCGAGUGCGAAGCAGAUCAUGACUAAGCGCUGUAGUACUUCAACACCGUUCAAGGCAAGUUUGCACUUUUGAUUUUGCUCAUCCUAUAGUCUGCUAUGCAUGUGGUUUUAUGCUAUGAUAUAUGUUUGGCCUGAUAUGUGUAUCCCGUUUUGUCAUGUUUGGUAUUGAUUGUGUUAUUUGAUGGUGUGAACAACUUGCUAUGGUAGACGUGGGCAUGUGUCGAGUGAUCCAUGAAAGUGGUGAGUGUUUAUAGCCGUAGGCUCGGGAUUAUUAACCAGCUGAAUGCGUCACUAGCAGAGCGCUCUAUUGUCCCUAGAGAAUGUGCCAUUGAUAGAGCACACUUGAGGCGAGGUAUAGUUUUCAGAACUUAAAUGAGGUGAAUGCAUCCUUGUCAGAGCGCUCUAUUGUUCCUACAGAAUGCGCCACUGACAGAGCGCACUUGAGAGAUACUUUUGAAGUUCUUGUCAUCUUUACUUAGAAUCUUUGGGGUUAUCUUGGGCGAAUAAGUUAGAGGCGGUUGUAAGUUCAGUUAGUGGAUGUAGGUGAAGACAUUUUUCUCCAAACUAACUUGUGUGUUUUGUUUGUCAUACAUUGCUUUGUGGAUGUAGGUUGGCUAUAUCAUAUUAUGUGAUUUGCCAAUACAUUCAAUUAUUGACCCUUUGUAGCUGCAACUUAUCAUGUUGCAGGAUUUUCAGAUGAUCAGUGAGAUACAGUAGGAUCGUGAGUUUCACUCAGCAUUUUCGCCAGUGGGCAUUGAUGGGACUCAUCGUCUAUUAUGCUACAUUUCCGCUAUUAUUGAAUAAAGCUAACUAUGUGCUACUUAGUUUGUAAUACUUUAUGAAUUCUGGAUCAUACGUUAUAGUAAAU